CAUGUCCUUUAGCAUAUAAUUUAAGGUCUAAUCUGCUCAAUGAUUAUUAAAUAGCCGCGGUAUUUUGACCGUGCGAAGGUAGCAUAAUAAUUAGUUUUUUUAUUGGAAGCUGGAAUGAAUGAUUGGACGAGGGAUUUACUGUCUCCUUGGAAAUUUUUUUUGAAUUUAACAUUUAAGUUAAAAGGCUUAAAUUUUUUUUAAAGACGAGAAGACCCUAUAGAGUUUUACAUAUUUCUUUUUAAUUAUUUUUUGGUAUUGGUUUAUUUUUAUUUUUGGUUUGUUUGGUUGGGGUGAUUAGAAGAUUUAAAUAACUCUUCUAUUUUUUAUUACUUAUUUGUAAAUUUUGUUUCUAUUGUUUUUAAGUUUAAAUUAAAUUACCUUAGGGAUAACAGCGUAAUUUCCUUUUAAAGUUCUUAUUGUGAGGGAAGUUUGCGACCUCGAUGUUGGAUUAAAAUAUAUGGUGGGCGCAGUAGCUCAAUCUUUUAAGUCUGUUCGACUUUUUGAAUUUUACAUGAUCUGAGU
rnacentral:rRNA from 1 species